UACGUAGGGCGCAAGCGUUAUCCGGAAUUAUUGGGCGUAAAGAGCUCGUAGGCGGUUUGUCGCGUCUGCCGUGAAAGUCCGGGGCUCAACUCCGGAUCUGCGGUGGGUACGGGGCAGACUAGAGUGAUGUAGGGGAGACUGGAAUUCCUGGUGUAGCGGUGAAAUGCGCAGAUAUCAGGAGGAACACCGAGCGGAAGGCAGGUCUCUGGGCAUUAACUGACGCUGAGGAGCGAAAGCAUGGGGAGCGAACAGG
rnacentral:rRNA from 1 species